UACGUAGGGAGCAAGCGUUCGUCCGGAAUCAUUGGGCGUAAAGCGCGCGUAGGCGGCCCCGUAAGUCCGCUGUGAAAGUCAAAGGCUCAACCUUUGAAAGCCGGUGGAUACUGUGGGGCUAGAGUCCGGAAGAGGCGAGUGGAAUUCCUGGUGUAGCGGUGGAAUGCGCAGAUAUCAGGAGGAACACCAAUAGCGAAGGCAGCUCGCUGGGACGGUACUGACGCUAAGGCGCGAAAGCGUGGGGAGCGAACAGG
rnacentral:rRNA from 1 species